GUCCUUGUAGCUUAUAAGCAAAGCAUGGCGCUGAAGACGUCAAGAAGGGCGCCCAAUACCCUGAGGACA
rnacentral:tRNA from 1 species